CAUCAUGAGACCAGAGGAGACCGAGAGAAGGGCUGGAUUUGGCUUUUCUAAGCAACAUGUGUUCCCUUGCAGGGCUGGAGGGUUGUGGAGACAGACAGAGAUGGAAGUCAGGACAGGGGAGCCCAGCGGGCCCAGAAAGGUCCACAAGCAGAGAGGAGUGUGAGGCGCAUGGCUCCAGUGUCAGACUCCCCAACAUGCUGCGUGCUCAGCAGGAUCUGCCCAUGACACCCAGGGAACCCUCGCCCUCCCCACCUUGGGAGAGGUCACUGGACAGAGCUGCACGGGGUGCUGGUGUCAUCCAGGACCCCACACACUUUCCUGAGUGUGAUCCUGCUUCCCUCCUCUGGGCAGCUGCAUCCUCUUCUCCUGCAGGGUUUUCUGGAAUCUCGGCUCUGGGUUUGUCUCCCUUCUCCCCUUUCUUUGCCCAACCCCCUUUUUCUGAAAAAGUGAGGCAAUUGUUUAUGGGUUAGUUUGUUGAAAAUAAGUGGCGGCCUCCA